UGAAGCCAGAAAUUUCCCAACAGCCUCUUGGCUCUCCUGUCCUGACAUUCCCCACUGCCCCCCAGCCUGCGCGCCCAGGCCCUGGCCCACCCUACGCUGAUGUCCCACAAGGCUGUCUGUGUGUGUUUGCCUGUGUGCAUUCGUGUGCUAGCUCCCUCCCCCUCACUUCUUCCUCAGUUUGGACGACAAACAGACAGACCACCUCCCUGUUCAAGCAAUUUAACACCUGCUGAAGAAUUCAUGGCUUAUCUGCAUAAAGACAGAGCAGCUUUUAGACAAAAACACACUGCAUUGUGAGUGAAGUUCCAUGGCCAAACUUAAGGUGGCAGCAGCGAAUAGAUCAUCAGUCAACUUCUCAUCAGUCAUCAAGUUCCCUUAGAUUGGUAAAAUGUUCAUUUUUAUGCAAAAGAACCAAACCAGACCAGGCACUGGAUAUGAUGAAUGAAGCAAGUACUUCAAGUUAUAUUAAAGGCAUAGUUCACCCAAAAUUACAAUUCUAUCAUGUUGUUGCAAACCUUCUUUCUUCCGUGAAGCACAAAGAAAGAUAUUCUGAAGAAUUUAUCAGCUGGUAUUCAAGUCAGUGGGGUACAAUACAACAUCAUCUUCAUACAGCUGAUCCUGAUGUAAUUCAGGCCGUGGGGUGUUCCGGCACUAAUCUAAAGGGGCAAAGGUCAAGAAAGUCAAAAGGUCUUCUAAGGGACAGAAGAGAGAUUCUGUGCUGCACACAUGUGACUGGAUAUGAGUGCAGAAGGAUGUUGUGGAUGCACAGAGAGAAAACUGAAGCGAUCAACUGAAAGGAAGAGAAGGAUGGGAAGAAACCGAGGUAAAGGAGGACAAAAAAGAAGGAAGAGAGGGAGAAAUGAAGAGAAGAGCAGGAGAGAUUAAAAGAAAAAGGGUGACUGUUUUUUUUUUUUUCCUAAGCUAAGUUCUAAGCUAAUGCGCAGCUUUAGUAACACCCACCCUGAGCCGGCAAAUAUAAGCAGCAGAAUGCACACACACACAUCCAUACAAAACGGCUGCCUCCUCUGCACUGGCACCGUAAUCCCUUCUCUCCCAUUCACUUCUGCACACACACAUGCUCUCAAUGGGAGUGAGAUACACCCUUUGUUGCUGUAACAGAAACCUGGCAUGCUGAAGCCAAAGGCUGGUGAUGCGCACUGUGCGUGUGGCCAAAACGAAGAGAGAAACAUAGAAAGGGAAUGACACGGGAACAUAAACUCAUAGAAACACAUGCAAAAGGACAAAAAUAAGAGUGUUCGUUUCAGUGCCAGUACGUUUAAUCAUAGCCAGAAGGCAUGAUGUAGAAAUGUUAGGGUAAGCUCUGCUUUUAACCUCCCUGCCUGUCAGCGAUUAGUCAUGUGAGCUGAUCUGCUAACUCAGAAAGAAUACUCAGGCCUGGAACAGACCAAUCACGGGCCGGACCUGGAAUAUGCACAUCUCUGUCCAGACUUCGGUCAAAAUGAUGAAACUAAGAGAAAUUCACACCUGAAUAGCACAUUGCAGCAAGAGUUUGUAUAGAGGUGUACACACCAGUGUGGUUACAGUUAUGUAACCUUAAUUUUGGCUUAUUAUUAAAAAUAAUAAUAAUAAUAAUAAUUUCAAGUGGGAAAUGACUGCCAAAAACACAGAAUGUAUCAAAUACAUCUGAAUGAUCAUCAAUAAAAGAAAAAGUUAGGUUAGAGAGUCGGACUCG
ensembl:lncRNA